UUGUAUUGCUUGUCUUUGGCGUCUCCUACCCUGAGAAACUUUUGGUCGCGCUUAUUUGGGGCGACUAUCUUCCUUACGCCC
rnacentral:sRNA from 1 species